rnacentral:lncRNA from 1 species
GCUGCUGGCUAUUUUUAGCCUAACGCACAAAAACACUGGGUCUUGUGGCGCGGAGCCUGGAGAGUGAAAGUUCGCAUAGUAAAAGCAAACAGCUGAAUUCAUUUUGGAUGUCACAGCAUGUUUGACAUUUUCUCUUAAAUUCUUCUUAUGCUGUUACAUUAGCAUGUGUUUUUCUGUAAACAGAAAACUUAAGAGCUGCGUCUCCGCGUUCUGAAUUACCCGUGCAGGAAGUCUAAGAAAUAGUAUUCUCUUUUUAUCCAAAAACAUGGCAGAUAUGUGUAGUUAUUUCGCAAACAUAGGAAGGUGCUUUUCCCAAAGGAUGUUAGUAGAUUUUCAUCUUGAGCCAUGGAGGUGUUUACAGGAAAUUCAGAUUAUGGGCCUGCUACAAAACCUGGGAAACUUCGAGAAGGAGAAACUGUUCAAGAGCCCACGUACAGACUGAAAAGGGGUUUGUUGUGGCUUCUGUGAGCAAGACUGAUAGAGAUACUGAGGAAUUUAUGAAAAGUUCUUCCAGAGUGGAGAGAGCAAAGACACCUGGGGAGGACACGUUCCUUGCCUUAAGCAAUACAGAAUAAAGUGCUGUAUUUAGGAGAAACCUCUCUCGGGUUCCAGAAGGUGAAUUUCAACAACUAAAAGAAGGCAUUUGAGGGAGAGGUACCCUUUCUGUCCAAUAUCAAUUCAGUACACAUUGGGCUGGGACAGAUUUUAAUCAGCUAUGUAAUAG